UUUUGGUCACUGUGUUUCCUCGUUGCAGCAACAGAGACCCUAAGACAACGAGCAUCUGUAAUGCCAGCACCCCUAUGGCAAGACAGGUAGAAGGCAGAGACGGGAGAUUCUUCAGAGACUCAUGGGCCAGGGAAUCUACAGUACACAGCAGUGAACAACAAAGAAACGGCUCCAGCAAGAUUCUCCAAAUGCGCAUUCUCCUAUAUCAGAGUUCCCGUCGUGUCUCUGGAGAGAAGCCGCUGCUGUUUGCAGGUCAAGUUCAAGACAUCAAUAGGACAGACUCCACAUCUAAGCAGACCACCUUCAUCAGGGACAGGACCAGGAGCUCAUUCCCAGGGAAACCCAUUACACACUUAUGUUUAAAUGACUUUAACACCUAAAGGUCUUUUACAGAACACACUAUGGCAAUGGGAGACAAUUUCUCAGUGACAGCUAGAAGCCAGGUGUUGCCAUGAUCAUAGCAAUGAGAUGAUGAUGAUGAUGAUGAUAGUUGUGGUUAGAGGAUGGUGGUAAUAUUGAUCAAGAAGAUGGUGAUGGUGGUGGUGGCUGUAGCAAAAGCUGUAAACUCUUCUGCAAAGUGCUUCUC